GGAUUGGGCCGGAAAAAGAGAAGUGAAAAAUGAAAGGCUAGGUUUUUAGGUGGGUUUGGGCCGAGAUCAUGGGUCUUUUUAAAAACCUCUUACUUUUUUAGAUAAUGGUAAACCCUCAGAAAAUCUAUUCAAGCUUGUUCGAAUUUUGUUCAAGCACCAAAAAAACAAUGCACGAGACAUAGAUACGACAAAAAAAUUCUAUAUAGAUUGCACGUCCCUUGUUUGCUCGUUACUGCU
rnacentral:lncRNA from 1 species